UCCUUGAUAGCUCAGUUGGAAAAGAAUCUGCCUACAGUGUAGGAGACCCCAGUUCUAUUCCUGGGUCAGGGAA
rnacentral:tRNA from 1 species